AUCACUUCUCAAACGUAAAAAGAGACAAAGCCAGUGAUAAAGUAAGUAUUUAUUUCAGUUUACAUUUAGCAGAUGUUUUAAUCCAAAGUCACUUAAGUUCUGAGGAUUAUAACACAAGGGAUUCAUCAUAUAUGGAGACAAUCAUAUCAGUAGUGAUGUAAUAAUAACACAAGUGGCUGAAAAAGUAUGUGAGAGACUGAAACUGAUGUGUGUUUAUUGACAGGACGACUCAUUGAAUCCUGAAUGUGAUGUGACGUACAGUUCUGUGGUUAAACCUCCCAAGACUAAAGCAUGUGGACCAGCAGAUGUAGAGGAAAAUGUGAUCUACAGCUCUGUGCGUGAAUAGGUGUUUGGUCUGGAUUAAAUUCCUGAGAAAAAUAUGAACCCAGAUGCCAGAGCAUGCAAAACAUCAAC